UCUUACCUGUUCGUCCUUCCCCAACCAUCUGCCCCGAACUCCUCGCCCCCAUCCACGCCUCCAGUUCCGUGCGCACAUCCCAUCACCUUCCCCUCCCCAUAAUGCCCCGAUCUCACACCCACCGACGGCGACGCCGGCAUGUCGUCCUCGCCGCUGCUGAUCCUGGCUUCCACGCCGCUGCCCGGACAACGACGCCGACAACAUCGAGGAGUCCGAUGGCAACGACUUUGACCAUGAGAUGGUUCUUCGUCGAUUUGCGUCACCAACUCGGGAUCCCUCCAGCCAGCCACCGCACACCGCCCUCCUCCAAUUGCUCUUCUCUCGAUCGGGUUGGAUACGUAGGCCGACGGUGAUGGCGGCAGCGGCUGUUGGGAGGAGGAAGCGCGCAGCAAUGGUGGUGCUGGGUGACCUCGGCCGCAGUCCGCACAUGCAGUAUCACUCCCUCUCCUCGCCAACCUGCGGAGCUGUGCAAGAACACGUACCCAGAUAGGGAUUUUGUUGAAGAGGCAGAUAAGGCAUGGAUGAGGAUUUAUGAGCAUCUUCAGGCAAGCUCGACAAUGUGGGCCACAUUUCUAACGUGUACAAUUCUAUAGUAUUGGAAUGAAAUAGUAUCUGUAGUUCCGUAUUUUGAGUUUAACACGUGGUCAUCGUUCUUGAGAAGAGUCAUUGCUUGAGGUGGACAUGGAAUAUUGUUUGCGAUGGCAACUUAAACAAUCUACAUCUUAGCGUAGUAUGAUGAUAGUUUGACAACAUUUAAGUGGAAAUUUACAAUCCUUCACCUACAUCUGUUACACGUUGCAGUACCUGAAUACCAAGACAACUUUGUACAACGCUAUACUGAAAGCUGAGGGUGAAAGUGUCCUUCUCACAGAGGAAGCUCAAAGAGCAGCAACCACCUCGCAUGUUGACUUUGAAAAUGGAGGGAUUCCUCUUCCUAAAGAUAAACUUGAGCAUGUUAAUCAGCUGAACAUUGAGAUUGCCCAGCUGGGUAGAAAGUUCAAUGAAAAUGUUAUGAACAAACCAGGUUUUGUAGAUGUAGAUCCACCUUCGCUGAUUCCAAGAAACAUGCAACAUCAUUUCAAGCCUGUUUACCAUUUUAAACCUGGAAGUGCUGAAAAGCAAAGCAAUCAGAUCAACACCACAAAGCAAAAGGGUCUAAGGAUUGUAACAGACUCAAGAAAUUUAUCAUCAGCGCUGAGAUGGAUUUCUGAUGAGGAAGAAACAGGUAUACAUUAUUGGAACUCUGAACCUCCCGAAAAUAUUUGUGUUCCUAACAAACUUAUAGCGUGAUGAGUUUGCAAAGGUAAUGCGUUUUCUUCAAAUUAAGAAGUUUCAUGAUUGUGUUAUUCAAAUGCCAUAGCAUUGAUUACCAAUGUAACUUGUGGUUCUCAAACAACCCUGAAUGAUUGAAUUACACAUUUGGUUCCCUGUUCAUGUCUUUGCAGACUAUGGGAUGCAAGUCAUAUGCCGACUUUGCUAUUCGUCUGAACAUGAUUGCAUCAGCUGAUGUGGUUAUGUCGUUUCUCGGAGAUUUGAGCAACAUUGUUAGGCAUAAAGCUGAUGAGGUAUGGAUGGAUUCAAUUUCACAUUGGCAUGGAAUGUCAUUAUGCAUUGUUAUGUUCUGUAUGUCGAAAUGCAUCAUUAUAUUCAAUCACUCAUCUCUGUCUAAAAAACCACCGCGUCUGUGCCAAAAACAGCCCGAACAAACCCAAAAAAAAUGUCUUGGGCGGUAUUCUUGCUGAGGUCGCACCCUGCCACUGGGUGAGAUUCGUGGCGCUGCUGGAUUCUCACGGUCGUGGGAUCCGCCGCCGCUUCACUAGUUCCUAGCCCCGCUAGACGAUGUCACUGGAGAUUCCCGUUGGCGCCUCGCCACCUGGGCGGGAUUCUCGCGAGAUCGUUGCCGGCCGGCUGGGAUUCGUUAGAUCCGCCGCUGCUUCACCAGCGCAUCGCCCCACUCGAUGGCGUCUUUGGCCCUGUCGCCAGCACGCCGCGGUGCUCCAUUCCCUCUUAGGCCCGGCCACCGGUACACCGGAUGAGUCUCACGGUGGCCUCAAUUUUUUACUCUGCUGGUCGCCGCCGAUCUGAACUAAAAGCCUGACACUUACGAGAUUUGAUGUUUUCCCUCCAAAUAUUUUAUGUUUCUAUUAUCCGAUUGCUAUUCCAUGUAAUUGGCUAUGCCUAUAUGUCAAGAAAUCAAAUUGGGGAUGAAUAGAUGCCUAAUCUGAUAGAUUUGAAGUAGAGAAUCUUGGUUCCUCCGUUUCUUUUUUCCCUCCUUUCUGAGCCAAGCUACAUCUAGGAGGAGUAACGAUAACUCCACAUCUUGGUAAAAUGCCCUCAUAAGCUCCUCGGAUGCGUCUUGGGGGCUCACGUUCUUGUGUGUUUUUGGUUUCGUAGGCACAGAAAGGAGAGGGUUUUAAUCUGUUUCUCCUGCUGAUUCAGCCGGUUGCUGUGGAUACGAUGGAGACUAGCUCUUUUUUUUUUUUUUUUUUGUUCAAUCUGGAGGGAUUUGGUGAAAAGGAGGCGCUUUUAGCUGUUUCCUAAGUUCAGUUUCAUAGGAUUGCAGGAUGUGGUUGCUAAAUAGGGAUUUGUACUCAUUUUUUAGAUAAUUGGUGAAACAGAUGGGUGUUUGUUCUGCCCUUUGUCAAACAAUUAUGGUUAUUUUUCCUUAAUGUAUCCUCGAGGAGGUAGCUAUCAUAUUUGGGUUGAUAUGUUCUUUAUUGCUUAUGUUUAUAUGUGAUGCAUCUGCUAUUAUUAUACAUGCUUUCCUUUUGUUUAGUGGUUCCUUGUGGAAGUUAAACAUGUUGUAGUGGGAUCCUGACCAAACUGGCUGUACUGAAAUUUCAUCCAACCAACCCAACUAACGGCAUAUUUGUUUCCACUACGGAUUGUGGAAAGCAACUUUUAUAAUUUGAAGUGGAAACAAACAAACAGCUUUUAUAAGAUGGAUUCCAUAAAUGGUUCCUAGAUUAUCACAAUCCCACAAUCCACUCUUCAUCAGCUUUUCUCAGCUUUUGAUUUGUAAAGAAACCAAAUUACCCAUCG